rnacentral:rRNA from 1 species
UACGUAGGGUGCGAGCGUUGUCCGGAAUUAUUGGGCGUAAAGAGCUUGUAGGUGGUUUGUCGCGUCUGCUGUGAAAAUCCGAGGCUCAACCUCGGACUUGCAGUGGGUACGGGCAGACUAGAGUGUGGUAGGGGAGACUGGAAUUCCUGGGUGUAGCGGUGGAAUGCGCAGAUAUCAGGAGGAACACCGAUGGCGAAGGCAGGUCUCCUGGGCCAUUACUGACACUGAGAAGCGAAAGCGUGGGGAGCGAACAGG